CCUUCGAUAGCUCAGCUGGUAGAGCGGAGGACUGUAGACCAACUCGUGUGUAGGCAUCCUUAGGUCGCUGGUUCGAUUCCGGCUCGAAGGA
rnacentral:tRNA from 1 species